rnacentral:lncRNA from 1 species
UCUACUUCAUUUCAAGAUAAUUCACCAAGAAAUUCUUUAUAUCUUAAUCCUCCUUUGCAAUCUUCAGUGCAAGGUUCAAUAGUUCCAAGUAUAGUUCGUAAAAAGUCUGAUUCUUCUUCAUUUCAAGAUAAUUCACAAAGAAAUUCUUUAAAUCUUAAUCCUUCUUUGCAAUCUUCAGCGCAAGGUUCAGCGCAACGUUCAGCGCAAGGUUCAACAGUUUCAAACAUAGCUCAUAAAAAGUCUAAAGCCGAUGAUAUAGAAGCAUUGAAAGAAUGGUUGACGAAAUUAAAUUGUCAAUGUUACUAUGAUACCUUGGUAAAGAAUGGUUUUGAUACUCUUGAUUUUUUGCAUCAGGUGACUGAGAAGGACUUAGAAACCAUUAAAAUAACAAACCCAGCUCAUAGAAAACUGAUUGUUGAUAGUGCCAGGGAGUUGCGGCCUAAUUCAUCAACGUAGUGUUUUUUUUUUUUU